rnacentral:rRNA from 1 species
AGCAGCCGCGGUAAUUCCAGCUCCAAUAGCGUAUAUUAAAGUUGUUGCAGUUAAAAAGCUCGUAGUUGAAUUUCGGGGUUAGUAGGUUGGUCAUGCCUCUGGUAUGUACUGGUCUCACUGAUUCCUCCUUCCUGAUGAGCCGUAAUGCCAUUAAUUUGGUGUUGCGGGGAAUUUGGACUGUUACUUUGAAAAAAUUAGAGUGUUUAAAGCAGGCUUACGCUUGAAUACAUUGGCAUGGAAUAAUGAAAUAGGACGUUUGAUUCUAUUUUGUUGGUUUCUAGGAUCGACGUAAUGAUUAAUAGGGAUAGUUGGGGGCAUUAGUAUUCAAUUGUCAGAGGUGAAAUUCUUGGAUUUAUUGAAGACUAACUACUGCGAAAGCAUUUGCCAAGGAUGUUUUCAUUAAUCAAGAACGAAAGUUAGGGGAUCGAAGACGAUCAGAUACCGUCGUAGUCUUAACCAUAAACUAUGCCGACUAGGGAUCGGAUGAUGUUAAUUUUUUAAUGACUC